GCCUAUUGUCAAGUAGAAUAAUCUUUGUUUUCAGUUAACCACAAUUUCUUGUUUUGUGAAUGUAUACAUAAAGGCUCAAUGCUCCAUUGGAAACAACCUGUCGGACAUUGAAAUUUGAUUGAAAGAUUGGUUAUAUUGUGCACAAAUAGCAUGUCAGGUUAACGUCAAUCAAGGUAUGAAAUUAUAUCUUUCAAAAGUGCAACUUGGAAAUUUGGCUAUAUUUUUCCU